CGGUGUUCAACUGGCGUGUCCGCGGGACGUCCUGCCGGUGGGCUUAGCCCGCAAGGGCGGCCCAACUUCAAAUCCCAUCGCGGUGCUCUUCACUGAGUGUCGAGGUGGGCCGGCACGUUUACUUUGAACAAAUUAGAGUGCUUAAAGCAGGCUAAAACUUCGCCUGAAUACUGUGUGCAUGGAAUAAUGGAAUAGGACCUCGGUUCUAUUUUGUUGGUUUUCGGAACCCCGAGGUAAUGAUUAAUAGGAACGGAUGGGGGCAUUCGUAUUGCGACGUUAGAGGUGAAAUUCUUGGAUCGUCGCAAGACGGACAAAAGCGAAAGCAUUUGCCAAAAACGCUUUCAUUGAUCAAGAACGAAAGUUAGAGGUUCGAAGGCGAUCAGAUACCGCCCUAGUUCUAACCAUAAACGAUGCCAGCUAGCGAUCCGUCGACGUUCCUCCGAUGACUCGACGGGCAGCUUCCGGGAAACCAAAGCUUUUGGGUUCCGGGGGAAGUAUGGUUGCAAAGCUGAAACUUAAAGGAAUUGACGGAAGGGCACCACCAGGAGUGGAGCCUGCGGCUUAAUUUGACUCAACACGGGAAACCUCACCAGGCCCGGACACCGGAAGGAUUGACAGAUUGAGAGCUCUUUCUUGAUUCGGUGGGUGGUGGUGCAUGGCCGUUCUUAGUUGGUGGAGCGAUUUGUCUGGUUAAUUCCGAUAACGAACGAGACUCUAGCCUGCUAACUAGGCGUAUUUUCGACAUCUCAAAGGUCCGUCGUCCCGGCCCUCGGGUCGUGGGCGUGCGCGAUUUUUACUGUCGGCGUACUAUCAAUUCUUCUUAGAGGGACAGGUGGCUUCUAGCCGCACGAGAUUGAGCAAUAACAGGUCUGUGAUG
rnacentral:rRNA from 1 species